UAUAAAAAUAGUCGAGAACGGAUACAUAAUAUAAACAUUAAUAUUACAGGGAACUCUAAUUUAAUGUAUCGUGAAAAAGUCCCGAUUUUUUAAACUGUGUCCCGAUUUUCUAACGUCGAUGUCCCGAAAUUUUCAAAUGAAGAGUUGGUCACCCUAGAUAGGGGAAAAAAGUGAGGACAUUGCUCGCUUUAAACUUAUUGUUCACAGUACUUACCACGUUAAAAAGAAAAAAGGAGCAGUGGCGACCUUCGCGCCAAGAAUCACGUGAGGCAUUUUUACUUCUUGUGAAGAGUACAAAUGACGUUCAGCCUACAUUGAAUUUGAGAAGGCAAAAAUAUGCAAAAUAUAGACUUAAUUUAGGAAUACAAGCCGUAAUUGUUGGUAGAAAUGAAGAUUAUAUCACACACUAUGUCGUUAUCAACGAAGUGUAUUUCGAGGUAGAAACUCCAUUGAAAGCGAUUGAUAUAGCCUUUAAAUCGAUGUAUGUUUUAGAUAGUAAAUAUCCAGUUGAAUGUGCCAGGGAAUGGCAUUUUUUACAAGAAGGAAUAUAUGGAAUCUCCAAUGACAAAAAUAUUUCUAAUCUUGCAGUAUUAGCUUUAACAGAAGAUUAUUUAGAAUUUAAAUCUAAUCAUUAACAGUGAGAUUAUAACACCGCAAAUGCUUACGUCAAGUUGUUUCAAUGCCUAAAACGUGUAAAGUAUAUAUUUUAAUUAAGUGUUUAUAACACACUUGUUCUUACG